rnacentral:rRNA from 1 species
GACGAACGCUGGCGGCGUGCUUAACACAUGCAAGUCGAACGGAAAGGCCCUGCUUUUGUGGGGUGCUCGAGUGGCGAACGGGUGAGUAACACGUGAGUAACCUGCCCUUGACUUUGGGAUAACUUCAGGAAACUGGGGCUAAUACCGGAUAGGAGCUCCUGCUGCAUGGUGGGGGGUGGAAAGUUUCGGCGGUUGGGGAUGGAUUCGCGGCUUAUCAGCUUGUUGGUGGGGUAGUGGCUUACCAAGGCUUUGACGGGUAGCCGGCCUGUGAGGGGGACCGGCCACAAUGGGACUGAGAUACGGCCCAGACGCCUACGGGAGGCAGCAGGGGGGAAUAUUGCACAAUGGGCGGGAGCCUGAUGCAGCAACGCCGCGUGCGGGAUGACGGCCUUCGGGUUGUAAACCGCUUUCGCCUGUGACGAAGCGUGAGUGACGGUAAUGGGUAAAGAAGCACCGGCUAACUACGUG